AUUGGCGUGUAAGGGCAUGUUGGAUCCCUGCUCGGGCAGCGACAACAUCCCAUGCGUGUCUCUUCAAUCGUUGGCCCAAGUGCGUGUUUGCCUUGCCUGUGUUGGUUUCCUGUGAUGUAUACCUAUCGUGAAGGCAUUUGAUUGGUUGAAAAGUUUGUUUCCACCUUGUGUUGCGGCUUUCUAGGCUGUGGUGCGGGGUGGACCUUGAAGCAUCCGUUGUGUACCACUAUCCCAUACACCUCGAUAGGUGUUUGGAUUGUUGGCUCAUGCCGUCAUGCUCGGUCUCUUGGAUGCGGAAUACUCUGUGGGUAUGAGGCCCUUGUCCUCUAUUUGCCCCGAAGCAAGCAUUCUGUGCUCUGUGCGAAAGACGAYCGAUCCCGUUUUGGCCGAGUCCUUGUCGACUUGGCUCAUGCGGUGUCGGGGUCGAAAAGGAAUGCUAC
rnacentral:misc_RNA from 1 species